rnacentral:rRNA from 1 species
GUGGGUAGUCCAUAACGAGCGCACCCUAUCUCUAGUUGCCAGCGAGUAAUGUCGGGGACUCUAGAGAAACUGCCUACGCAAGUAGUGAGGAAGGUGGGGAUGACGUCAAGUCAGCACGGCCCUUAUGUCCAGGGNCUACACACGUGUUACAAUGGCCGGUACAGAGGGCAGCUACCUGGUGACAGGAUGCAAAUCUCUAAAGCCGGUCUCAGUUCGGAUCGAAGUCUGCAACUCGACUUCGUGAAGUUGGAUUCGCUAGUAAUCGCGCAUCAGCCUCGGCGCGGUGAAUACGUUCCCGGGCCUUGUACACACCGCCCGUCAAGCCAUGGAAGCCGAGGGUACCUGAAGUCAGUCGCUGCAAGGCACUGCCUAGGGUAAAAUUGGUAACUGGGGCUAAGUCGUAACAAGGUAGCCGUACCGGAAGGUGCGGCUGGAAUACCUCCUUUCU